rnacentral:tRNA from 1 species
AGGCUUCAAAGUCUCCGAGGGGAUCUGGGAGGUUCAAUUCCUCUUCAC